UACGAAGGGUGCAAGCGUUACUCGGAAUUACUGGGCGUAAAGCGUGCGUAGGUGGUUUGUUAAGUCUGAUGUGAAAGCCCUGGGCUCAACCUGGGAACGGCAUUGGAAACUGGCUUACUAGAGUGCGGUAGAGGGGUGUGGAAUUCCCGGUGUAGCGGUGAAAUGCGUAGAUAUCUGGAGGAACACCGGUGGCGAAGGCGGCAUCCUGGACCAACACUGACACUGAGGAGCGAAAGCCAGGGGAGCAAACGGG
rnacentral:rRNA from 1 species